CUCAUAUCCCUCGUAUCUCUUAAUGUUAUCUAGUUAUUGUUUCCUUGGACUAUGCUUGCAGUCUGUACUGGCUUCCUGAUGAUUUUUAAAGCAGCCCCACAGUGGAGAUAUGAGAAGAACUGACCGACAUAAAGAGUUUUCAGGCGAAGACCUUAAUGAUAGCCGGAGCUUUUAAUGAGACGAAGUUCUGCUCCACUCAACUUUUCAGGAUGAAAAAGCAAAGGAAAAGGUGUCUGCUGGCAGAUGUCUUAGAACUCCAGCUUGUUUUCUUCUUAUGCUGCAUUCUAAUUUCAGACAAGCAGUGUUUUCCUUUGUCUGCCUGUUGGGAUUUAACUUGCUUUGAGAGAGAGAGA